rnacentral:lncRNA from 1 species
AAUGCUGAAAUGAGAUAAGACUGUGGAGGACUGUUGGGAAGCCUAUCUGCUGAUGUGGCAUCACUUUUGUUUCCAGUAAAUGAAAGGAAAACAUUUCCACUCACUUAGGCAAAAAGAAGAAGAAAAGCUUGAGUGCUCAGCUGUUCUCUGAGAUGAGAUAAGUACGUGAUUUACAUUUUAUUCUGCUUCAUGGUUUGGCUCACGAGUAGGUGUUUUGUGUCUUCAGUCAUUUGGUGAUUAUUUCUUCAGGUUGGUUUUACUCAGUGCCAUUUAAGACGAAUUUUAUCCUGUGUCAGAUCUUCACUUUGAUGUUGUAUAAGAGCGGGGAAAGAAGACAUCCAUGCCUUUUAUCGUGUAUUAGGAAGAAAGUAUUCAAUCUUUCACCAUGAAGCUUUAUGUUAACUUUAGCUGUAGUUUUUUUGAGCAUGAUCUUUAUCAGCUUGACAAAGUUCUAUUAUAUUCCUAGUUUGCUGAGGUUUUACAAAUAAUGAAUUGAUGUCAAUCAUUUGAUUAAAAGCAUUCCUCAAAAUGCUUUUUCUGUUUCUGUCAAGAUGAUUGCAUGUUUUCUUUUUUAGUCUGCUGACAUGAUGAAUGACAUUAAUAGACUUUUGAAUGUUGAACUAGCCAUGUAUUGCGAAGAUAAAUUGCACUUGGAUAUAAUGAAUAAUCUUUCUUAUGAUUACUUGAUUUCAUUUUCUAAUAUUUUGGUGAUAAAUUUUGUAUCCUAUAUUCAUAAAGAAUAGUGAUCUUUAGUUUUCUUUUCUUGCAAAGGUCUUUUUUAGGUUUUGGUAUCAGGGCAAUGCUGGCCAUUUUAGUUCAGGAGUGUUUCCUUAUUUUCUCUUUUCUGAUAGAGUUUAUGUAGAAUUAGACACACAAAUGCUAUUAUUCCUUCUUUAAGCAGUGGUAAAAUUUAUUAGUGAAGCUAUUUGUACCUGGAAAUUUUAAUAAGACCAUUAAAUAAAGGUAGGCAAACAACCAAGAAUAUAACAGGUAGGCAAACAACCAAGAAUAUAAUGAGAUAAAGACAGGAGUAAAAAGCGUCAGAUAGAAAGUGAAUGAAUUGGAAGAGAGGCAAAGCAAAUCUAACAUUUGUAAAACUGAAGAAGAGGAAGAGGGAGGGAAGGAGAAGAAGAAGACAAUGAAGAUGAAGAAGAUGAUACUGAGGAAGAAGGAGGAGGAGGAAGCAAAGGAGGAGAAAGAGAAGAAGAUUUACUACCACCCAUGGACCGGAACUAAUAUUAAAACUAUAUUUCAAGAAAGAAGAAUAAAUGAAAGCAUAUUUGAAGAAGAAGAAAAAUAAAACAAUGAAACAGGUCUAAUACUUAAAACUAUAUUUCAAGAAAACUUUCUGGAAAUAAGAGAAAACCUUAAUCUAAAUAUUGAAAUGGCCCAUGAUAUGCCUGGAACAAUGGAAUGGAAUAAUCAACUCUAGGCUAUAAUAGUGUAGUAAAAUUUUUAGAUUUUAAAGACAAAGAAAAAAUUCCCCAGGGCCUCCAUGCAAAAAGACAAUAUUACUUAGAAGGGUAAGGAAAUUAGGCUGGCAUUAGCUUUCUCAAUAGCAGUGUACAAACAAAGUAACAGUGAAGCAACAUUUUUAAGAAACUCAAGGAAAGAAAGUGCAAGCCAAGAAUUCUACAUUCAGUUGAGCUGUUCAUUAAGAAUCAAAGCUGUAUAAAAAUAGUUCUACAUGUACAGGAACUCAGGGAAUACUGUACUCAGGAACCUUUUCUGACGUGUCUACCAGAAGAGGAGCUUCAUCAAACUUACAAACAACUAGGGAAAUUUUAGCAAAAGGACUAAUGAUGCCAAUUUAAUAUAUUUUAUUGUAGAAUUAAGAUUAAAACUAGAGUGGAAAUGUGAGUAGAAAAAAUAUGCAAAAGUCAUAGGUUCUGACAAAGUUGAAAAAAAUGUCACCAUGAUAUAGGAAAAAAGAGAGAAAGGGGAAAAUGGUAAAAGACCAUUGCUUAUUAUACAGCUAAUAUGUGGCAGUCAAAGGAUUCCAGUGAAGACUGAAAAGCAGAUAGUAAAAUGGUAAGAAGAAAGGUGUGUAAAGGCACUAUAAAUAUAUAAAGGCAACUACCAGACAAAUAUAUAUCUUUUAUCAAUACCAUAAGAAAUUUAAAAAGUGUGAAAAUAGUGUCAUCACUGAAUUAGGUUUCCAAUUUGCCUAUAUUCAUGUGAAAUUUUCCAUUUGCAGAAAAAAGCUCUCUGACUGUAUGCUAGAUAGUGGGAUGGUGAGAAAAUAUGUAGGUAUGUGCUAGCUCUAAAUAUUUUUUUCUUUAUCUCCUUUAUUUUCAAAAAAUUCUCCUGUUGCCAACUUCAAGUCUUUAUGAACAACUUUCUUUUUCUUUCUUUUUUUUUUUUUUUUGAGACGGAGUUUUGCUCUUGUU